rnacentral:rRNA from 1 species
AAGUCGAGGGGUAGAUUUUCUUCGGAGAAUUGAGACCGGCGCACGGGUGCGUAACGCGUAUGCAACUUACCUUAUACUGGGGGAUAGCCCGGAGAAAUUCGGAUUAAUACCGCAUAUGCUCACAGUCUCGCAUGGGACGGUGAGGAAAGAUUUAUCGGUAUAAGAUAGGCAUGCGUCCUAUUAGCUUGUUGGUGAGGUAACGGCUCACCAAGGCGAUGAUAGGUAGGGGGCCUGAGAGGGUGGUCCCCCACACUGGUACUGAGACACGGACCAGACUCC